rnacentral:lncRNA from 1 species
AAAUGGUCACUUAGACCAAGUGAGCUUUCUCCUUAUCAAACGGGUCACUUAGACCCUUCAAGGACCACCACACACUUGGUAUCUCUUGCUUUGAUUACAAGUCACUUGAGAAUAAGAAUGGGAAAAGAAGAAAGCACGAUUGCAAAAGCCAAGCGACAAGAGCGACAAAUAUCACACAGAUCACUCUCUCUCUCUCAAGUCACUAAUCACUAAUGAUCACUUGUCUCAAUUGUGGAACUUGGAGAGAUUGGAAGCUUUGAUUGUGUCUUUGAAUGGAUUGCUAGCUCUUGUAUUGAAUGUGAAGGAUUGGAGUGCUUGGAUGUUGUAAAUGGAGGUGGUUGGGGUUGUAUUUAUACCCCCAACCACUUCCUAGUCGUUGCUCCUUUCUGUCGACCGCGGACGGUCCACGCCCCUGGUCCGGACGGUCCGCCCCUGCACAUCAACAACUAAAAUCGCAACGGUCAACAGUAACGGCUAUAUCAAUGGCUACUAUGCAUUAAAUGCGUCGUCAGAUGUCAGAUAAAGCAGUCGCGGACGGUCCGGUCGUGCACCCCGGACAGUCCGCGAGGACGCUAAAAAUACAUUUUACCGAACCCGUCACCUUCGGGUUUUUCUGGUUUUCACCGACCGGACGGUCCGCGCCUGAGGCCGGACGGUCCGCGCUUGGUCUGGGACGGUGCUCGCUUCUCCAUCGGACGGUCCAUAGUGUAGACUUGUGUAUUUACAGUGUUUCUGUCCGAGGGUCACCUUGGUGCCGCGGAUGGUCCGCCGCAAGGGCCCGGACGGUCCGCGCUUAGGUGUUUUUCAAAAAAGCUUCUCCUGUCCGAAAUAAUCUACGGUAUUCCGGACAGUCGAUUUAGAAUAGUUGUAGAUAAACUUGUGCACCUGUGAAAUGAUCAACUAGGCAAAUUGGUUAGUCCACAAGGUUUGUGAUGGUCGUAAAACACCAAAAUCGCUUAUAGGAAAUGUUGAGACUAUUUCCCUUUCAAACCCUAACCCUAACCCUAAUCUUGUAUUCCUGUUGUAGUCGUUGAGGAACCGGGACUCCAACGUGGGUCGUUGGCCGUCUCCGACAAUGAAAAUAUUGAGAUUGACGACAACGAGGAGAGGCGGUUGUGCGGGUUGGCCAAAGAUGACGACGAGGAACUGCAAUAUCUUUUUUAAACUCCAUCAUUUUGAUAGUUAAAGAGGCCCUAGAUGCUCUUAAGAAUUUGAUUGAAACAUUUAGAACUGCAAUAUCUUUUUUAAACUCUUCUAAUCAUAGAAUUGCUGCAUAUAAAAGUUAUUGCAUUGAUACUAAUAUUAGGCCUAGAAAAUUCUAGUUGGACAUGGAGGUUAGGUGGAACUCUACAUAUCUCAUGCUUAAGCAUUUGUUUCCUCACAGGGUCCCUUUCACUACUUUCAUUCAUGCCAACUAUCCUAUGGCUGAAGGUGAUCAAUUUAUUUUAACUGAUGGUCAUUGGGUUAUUGGAGAGAAAGUACUUAAAUUUCUUGAGCUCUUUUAUGAUUCUACAGUUGCAUUGCCUGGUGUUUAUUAUCCUACAUCUCCACUUAUGUACAUCUAAAAAACUAUGCUAAUGACACUCACAUCAGACGUGUGAUUCAACCUAUGAUAGACAAAUAUAAUAAAUAUUGGAGGAACAUACCUUUACUUUACUUUUUUGCAUUCAUCUUGGACCCUAGAGCUAAAAUAAAAGGUUUCAGUAGAGUGCUUAGAAGGUUGAUGAACCUGACCAGUACAGAUUAUGCUGCUUAUCAGGUUACCACUAGAGCUAGGCUUAAUGAUGUUUAUAAUAAGUUUGAAUAGAAAUAUGGAUCUGUUAGGUUGAGAAGGGCUAUCCCUCCUAACUUAUAUGGUAAGAAAAGAUCUGCUUGGGAUGAAAUAUAUGAUGAUGCUGAUGAUGUGGGUGAUUUUGUUGUAUGCAUUCUUUUGCUUCUACUAUAAACAUUGCUAGAGAUACCUCUGCAACUGCUCUGUUGCAUGCUGCAAACUCUUCAGCUUCUAAUGCUUCCGAACUCAUUUCUUACUUAGAUUGUGACACUGUAAACCAGUUAACUGAUGAUUUCAACAUCUUGCAUGGGUGGCAUCAACACAAACUCACUUAUCCAGUACUGUCAAUUGUGGCUAAAGAUAUUUUAACUGUUCAUGUGUCUACCAUCUCUUUAGAAUCCACUUUUAGUUUAACUGGCAGGAUCAUCGACGAGUGGAGGAGGUUGAAGUCUGAUGUGGUUGAGAUGUUGACAUGCAUUAAAGUUUGGGAGGAUGUUCAAGCAAGGAUGCAACACAUGGUGGAUGACAAAGAGCUUGAAGAAACAUUUGAAAAUCUUUAUCUUGAUUAGUCUCUUUGUGACCAUUUGUGUAAUGAGACUGUAAUAUUAUGCACGUGGACUUUGAUUGAUGUAAGAACAAUGAACUUUUGAAUGAGCUAGGUUGUACUCUUUUUUCCUGUCUAGGGUUUCUCACAAGGGUGAGUUUUACUAGACAGGGUUUUAACGAGGCGGCCAUUGCACUACAACUCAUAAUAAAAUUGUUUUCAUAAAUAUAGCAGCUUGAAGUUGUAUUUCUUAUCUGUUUUCAGACUUAGUGCACGUGUUGGCACUAGCAGUAACAUGCCACCGUGCUAGGAAACGGCUGUAUUAAGCAAACCACUCAACCGCUAAUGGAAAUAUAUUUACACUGACGGUUCCUUAAGGCGGGUACGUCUAUUUAUUUUCACUAGCGCGUGGUAACUGAAAUCGUCAGUAUAAAUUUCUGUGUGCCACCAGUUUAGAGCUCUUUUAUACUAGUGGAAAGAAAACAGCCAAAAUUAGUGCGAUCGGCUCAGGCUACGAGCAUUUGGCUAGACAUGGUAGACCUGGAAGAAUUUGAUCGUGUGGCUAGACUUGGUAGACAUGCUGACCGUGGACUGGCUGGAUGUAGCCACUUUGGUCUGUUUGGUUAUUACUGGUCCGAGAGGAUGCAGUAACCGAGCUAUCUAGGUGGCUUAAAGUUGAUUUGGACCUUGUUCGUUUGUGUCGGAUUGCACCCGGAAUCGUUCCACCUAAUCAAAAUUUAUAUAAAUUAGAGAAGCAAUCCGGUUAGAAAUCGUUCCGACCCACCAACCCGACAGAAACGAACAAGUUAUUAGUGUACUUUCUCUAUACAAAUUUUGGCUAGAUUAUUCUUUGCACGCUGGUGUGAAUUAAUUCGGUUUGAUCAAUUUUUAUUCGCCCCUCGACAAUUUUUGGUUGGACCCAUUUGAGGAUCAGACUAGGUCGCAUCAAUUCAAUUAAGAUCCUGUUUGUUUCCUUUCAUUUUGAGGAAUUGAAAUCUUACUAAUGGAAUAGACUAUUUUUUUAGAAUGUGACAUUCCACCACUUUCCACCAGUGAGCCCGUCGACGACUUCACCUUUGUGUGCGCGCACACGGACAUGGGCGAACCUGUCGGGGUGGCAGGGUUAGGGUUCGGCCAUGGCCCGCUCUCACUGCCGGACCACCUCUCCCCGCAGAUCUCUGGUGAGCUCCAACCAGACCUCGACCCUUGCGGCGUCUACCGCGACGGUGUCCAACACCACCGAGUCGAAGCUCCCUCUGCCGAGGAGGACCCACAGCCGCAGGUAGAGGUGGUGGAGUCAACCGAGUUGGAGUCCGCGCAUCCUCCUCUCGCCGUCUACGACAACUACAUCGAGCACGACCUCUACAGCUUCAUCCCGCUGCUCUUCUGCACCGAGCAAACCAAAGAGGAGGAGGUACUCGUCGAAGAUCCCUAUGCAGAGGAGGACCUGCAACCGCAAGCGGAGGUGGUGGAGUCGUUCGAGUCGGAGUCCGCUCCUCCCGUCGUCUACGACCGCUACGACGAGCCGAACCACGACGAGAUUGCCGAGGUGCUCGCGCUACUAGAGUACAACAAGGGGACUUCGUCGGCCACAGUCCUCGUCGACUAUACCACCACCAGCAAGUCGCCUACCAAGUGUUCGACGAUGGAUUUCUCCGACGCCGACAGCGCCGCCUACGAUGAGCCCAGCUUCCACUGCUUCAUUCCGCCACCCUUCCGUGCCGGGAAAACCAACGAGGAAGAGGAUUCCUCUGCCGAGGAGGCCAUGGCGGCGAUGGAAGCGACCGCCUCGCCAUCCCCUUUCCUUCUCACCAUGGGGAAUCUGCUACUGCUCUACCUCGCGCUACCACCGAAGCAUGCUGCGGUGGUGGACGAGCUGCUGCCGUACCGUGAUGCUAUUAGCCCACCGCCUCCUCUUCUCGUCGACGACGACUCGGACCACUACUGCUGGCAGCGGCAUGUGGACAUGACCACGUCACGACGAGCGUACGAGGUUGACGCGGACCACCCGGGCUCCGAGGUCGCAGCCGUCAUGGCUGCCGCGACCGCCGUGUUCCACUGGGCUGGGGACGCGCACUACGCGCACCUACUGCUCCACCAUGUGCAGCAGCUGUUCGACUUCGCCAACACCUACUGGGGACGCUACGACGCCGCGCUGCAGGUGCUCGAUCUACACCCCAACCACGGGCUCGUUACCUCCUUCCACACCAUCAGGCUGCUGCUCUCCACCGAGUAUUACAUCUCCACGAUGCUCACCGAUGUAGCCCGUGUCAGCCUCAUGGUGACGGUGGCAAGCCAACCUGCAUCUACUUCAGUUGAUGCUCAAGGGAUGUUUGAUGAAAUGCAGCAAAGUGAUACCUCUGUUGCCAUCGCACAUACUGCCUUCAACACGGAGGAGCUAGAUAGGUGGCUUGAAAGCUGCGAUGAACAGGGUGAAUCAAUUGGAGUCAACAAGAUCCAUGUGCAGCCUCAGUUCUUUGAUGUGGGCAAGGACUAUAACUGGGCGAGGGGCAUCCGGAGCACCGAGAUCCAGCUCGCUGAUGGCAAGUGUUGAA